GCAUAAUUGAUCCUCCAGUUAGGCCAAGGCAAGGAAUUUGUUUACAGUGUCCAUCCCUGGUUUGUUUUGGUUCAUGAAGGCUCUGUUCUAUCAUUUAACAUGAGUAGCAGUCAGAAAUGCCAAAGUUGGCUGGCCAGGAACCAGAGAUGAGGUACAACCCUUGGAAAUACCUUCAUUUUUAUUCAAGUGUGUUGAUAAGGUGGGUCUCUACUAUCUAGGUUAUAGAUAAAAUACAAUGAAAUGCCAUGAGUCUGUAGCAUUAGUUUUUAUUUAAUAGGUCUAGAUGUGGUUUUAUAAUAAAAAUGUCCCCUGACUUAGAUCAGUAAGGGUGUGAUCUCCUUUCUUUUGAAGUCUUUUGAAGUCUUAUUUCUUGGCUUUAGGAUCCAUCAUCCUUGCUCAGUCGGUUUGGUUUGUUCCUAUGUUCUUUAAGUGUUGGGCUACUUUGUUGGGAUUGUGUGAAUCAAAGUCUACAAGAGAUUGAUUUAGGAUGUUUUCUUUCUCCAGUCACUACAGGAAAAAGCUCCAUUCCUACUCUUUGGCCCUUGUGGAGGAAGGGCUAGACUGUGCCAGCUUCCUUUCGAGUUUGGGACAAACCAAAGAAUUGAACAUAACGUGUCACCUAGUAGCAAGAUUCCUGGUGGCAGCAACUGUUCUAGGAUCUGGUGGCAGUUUAGAUGGAGCAGCUACAAAGUAUCUGGCAGAGAAGAUGACAUUUGAGUAAAGUUCCAAAGAUCAUCAAAGGAUAAGCCAUGCAGAUAUCUGAUGCAAAAGUGUUUGAAGCAAAGGAAGGAAGCAACAAAAUCCCUAAGGUAGGAAUGGGCCUGAUGUAUUUAAGCAAAAGCAAAGAGGCAAUAAGGGUAGAGCUGAAUGAGUGCAGGGUUAGGCAGAAGAUGAGAGAGACUGGGGGCAGAGAACAUAUUGAAUACGUAUAAUAGGCUACUAUAAAGACUUCCAGUUUAGCCUGAGGGUAGGGGAUGAGAGAAGUUGAACAGAGAAGUGACAUGAUAUGAUUUAUACUUUAGUUUCAUCAGAAUCCCUUCUCAUUGCCAUGUUAGAGAAUAGGUCUGCUAAUUGACCAGGUGGAAAAAGGGAGACUAGUCAGAAUGCUAUUGCAAUUAUCAUUAUGAGAGAGGAUGUUGGCUUGGACCAUGGCAGCCUUGAAUUGGAUAAGGAGUAGACUAAUUCCAGAUUUAGUUAGAAGAUGGAGCCAACAUCAUUUGUUAACAUAAUGAAUAUGGAAUGAGAACAGCAGAGAGGAGUCAGGAUGGCAUAAAGGUUUUGGAGUGAUGAACUGGAAGAGUGAAGUAGCUGUUUGCUGAAAUGGGGAAGACCAAAAGAGGAGAAAGUUUGGCUUAAAAUCAAGAAUUUAGUUUGGACACGUCAAGUUAAAAUGACCCUUAGACAUUUGCAUCAGUUCAUUGCUUCUCAGCUGCAAAAAUGCUUUGUGGUAAACAAUGGAAUUCCUUUAAGCAUUUCUUUUUUAAAGUGAGAAUAGUGUUAAGCUUUUUAAAUAAAGAGGGAUGGAGGGACA
rnacentral:lncRNA from 1 species